UGGGGAAUUUUCCGCAAUGGGCGAAAGCCUGACGGAGCAAUGCCGCGUGGAGGUGGAAGGCCUACGGGUCGUCAACUUCUUUUCUCGGAGAAGAAACAAUGACGGUAUCUGAGGAAUAAGCAUCGGCUAACUCUGUGCCAGCAG
rnacentral:rRNA from 1 species